UCCUCUUGUCAUUAUUUCAAAUGCGAGCUCAUGGAACUUGAACUGAAGAAGAUGUAUGAUACUGUUAUUUCCAUUCAGGAGGAAAUGUUUUAUCUCCGUGAAAGAGAAGAAGAAAUGCAGGUGCUCAACAAAACAACUAACAACAGGAUGGCCUGGUUGAGUUUUCUUUCCCUUAUUGUUUGUUUAUCAGUAGCAGGCUUGCAAGUAUGGCACCUGAAGACC